GAAACCAACAGGGAUUGCCCCAGUAACGGCGAGUGAAGCGGCAACAGCUCAAAUUUGAAAUCUGGCCCCCCGGCCCGAGUUGUAAUUUGGAGAGGAUGCUUUUGGCGCGGCGCCGUCCGAGUUCCUUGGAACAGGACGCCACAGAGGGUGAGAGCCCCGUACGGACGGACGCCUAGCCUCUACAAAGCUCCUUCGACGAGUCGAGUAGUUUGGGAAUGCUGCUCAAAAUGGGAGGUAAAUUUCUUCUAAAGCUAAAUACCGGCCAGAGACCGAUAGCGCACAAGUAGAGUGAUCGAAAGAUGAAAAGCACUUUGAAAAGAGGGUUAAAAAGUACGUGAAAUUGUUGAAAGGGAAGCGCCUGUGACCAGACUUGCGCCCCGUGGACCACCCGGCGUUCUCGCCGGUGCACUCCGCGGGGCGCAGGCCAGCAUCGGUUUUCCUAGGGGGACAAAGGCCGCGGGAACGUAGCUCCUUCGGGAGUGUUAUAGCCCGCGGCGGCAUGCCCCUGGGGGGACCGAGGACCGCGCUUCGGCAAGGAUGCUGGCGUAAUGGUCACCAGCGACCCGUCUUGAAACACGGACCAAGGAGUCAAGCAUUGGGGCGAGUGUAUGGGUGCCAAACCCGCACGCGAAAUGAAAGUAAACGCAGGUGAGAGCUUCGGCGCAUCAUCGACCGAUCCUGAUGUCUUCGGAUGGAUUUGAGUAAGAGCCUUACCGCUUGGACCCGAAAGAUGGUGAACUAUGCCUGAAUAGGGUGAAGCCAGAGGAAACUCUGGUGGAGGCUCGCAGCGGUUCUGACGUGCAAAUCGAUCGUCAAAUUUGGGCAUGGGGGGCGAAAGACUAAUCGAACCAUCUAGUAGCUGGUUACCGCCGA
rnacentral:rRNA from 1 species